GUCCGAACCUUUGCAGAUUUCCUCACCAAAAAAAGAACCACAGUAUCAUUAUUAUAUUUACAGAUGUCAUCAAUAAGCCUUUGAUCGUCAAGCGGUUCACCAUCACAAACAACCUCUUGCUGAUCAAGGUCAUCAAACUCCCUCUCCUUCUUUGCAACCUGUUGUUUCACAUACCCAACAUGUCUCCCUCGCUCCACAGUAAAGGUAUAUUCUUUUCCACUAAUAGUUUUAACCUUUAUAACCUGAAGAUCGGAAAGCCUGAGAACCAAAUGCAGAACAUUCCCAUCAGUGACACCAUAGUCACGGAUAAGGGAAUUGCUCCUUGAUAGUUCUCGGCCCGCACAGACCAGUUUUUGGUUCUUCACAACAAACCCUUUACAGGACUGAAUCCGUAGUUUCACAGAUUCAAUUGAAUCAGACUCUAAAACACGCAUUGGAAUCAUAGACCCCCCAACAGAGAGAUAUAUCAAGAUGAACUCAUCAGAGCAGGGGAGUGGUUGGGCA
rnacentral:misc_RNA from 1 species